CACGUAGGGACCAAGCGUUGUCCGGAUUCAUUGGGCGUAAAGAGCUCGUAGGCGGUUCAGUAAGUCGGGUGUGAAACCUCCAGGCUCAACCUGGAGACGCCACCCGAUACUGCUGUGACUAGAGUCCAGUAGGGGAGCGUGGAAUUCCUGGUGUAGCGGUGAAAUGCGCAGAUAUCAGGAGGAACACCAGCGGCGAAGGCGGCGCUCUGGGCUGGAACUGACGCUGAGGUGCGAAAGCGUGGGGAGCAAACAGG
rnacentral:rRNA from 1 species